UACGUAGGGUGCAGGCGUUAAUCGGAAUUACUGGGCGUAAAGCGUGCGCAGGCGGUCUGCUAAGAGAGAUGUGAAAUCCCCGGGCUUAACCUGGGAACUGCGUUUCUAACUGGCAGGCUUGAGUGUGGCAGAGGGGGGUGGAAUUCCACGUGUAGCAGUGAAAUGCGUAGAGAUGCGGAGGAACACCGAUGGCGAAGGCAGCCCCCUGGGCUAACACUGACGCUCAUGCACGAAAGCGUGGGGAGCAAACAGG
rnacentral:rRNA from 1 species